rfam:Bombyx mori DNA, contig: Bm_scaf35_contig21031, strain: p50T/Dazao, build 2, whole genome shotgun sequence.
UUAACUCAAAUUUGUAUGGUGUUAGAAUGUUUGCCUACGUUUGCCGCUAGGGGCGCUGUUCCAACUGCAUACAAAUUUGAGUUA